rnacentral:lncRNA from 1 species
GUUAGUAACGAGCAGUGGAAAUGCAAUCCAAUAAUUCAGGAGGAUCGUGGGGUUUCAUUGAAUCCCCUUUAAUGAACAAUCAAGUAACACAGAGAAACAACAGGCAUGUUAACUUUUUUGAGAAUAAACAGGUGAAAAUAAAGGCUAAUUCCCGACAGAGUCUGGGUUUCUCAGUAUGUAUCAACAGGGAAAUUUCCCUAGGAGUGCAGGCAAAAAUAAAGUUUGCCCAGUCAUUGACCCUAGCACCCACUUUGACGGGAUCGCCUUGAAGAAGCGCCCCUUUACUGGGAUGGUCCUCAGGACAACGCUGCGAACCGACGAGGGUCAAAAGCUGCCCCUGCUGGACGUGACGGAGGAGUGAAUCGUCUGGUUGGCCAGACUGAAGGUGGAACCUCGGUCCCCCGCAAACCUCACUGUUGAGGCCUGGAGGAGCACCGUUUCUCUGCUGUCCUCUGCUCGGAGCCGACCUCUCGCAGACGGUUCUCUUGAACCUUACUUUACUUUCACUGACAAUAAUGCCUCCGGCUGGAUUUCCAUGUGAGGCUUUAAAUUUUCUUCGGCGGACAAGGGGCACAAGAACCAGGGCUGGGCGUCAGCUCCCCGCUCGGGCGGCCGCCGGGAAGGGUCACGAAGGCGCCCGACCCGGGAGACGUGCGCCCCUGCGGCGCUCCGGGCCUGCGUCGCUUCCGCAGGUCGUCUGACCACCCAGACUGCGCUGAGCGCAAACCGCUUCUAGAAGAAAGCGUGCGGCUAGCGCGGCGGGCAGACUACAUAACUGCCCCCACCGCUCACCGCUCACCGCUCACCUAUCAGUUUCAAAAUCACGAAGAGAAACGGCCGGCACGUCAGCCUUGGGAGCGGGGCCGCCGCAGAACGGGCUCCGGCCGCGGGCUCACGCAACUGCCGCCGACGCACGCCGGAAGUCCCUCGCGUCGCGGCCGGCCGUGGGCACGCGUCAUGACGUCACUGGGAAGCGUUGGAGGAGCGCCCUCGCGGCGUCUGCUGGGAGUUGUGGUCCGCCCUCGGUGGGUAGAUCCAGCCUCCCGGGGCAAGGCCGGAAGUGGCUGUUAAAGCCUCGAGGCGUGUCAAGGGUUGGCGUUCGGAAGUCCAGCAACGGGGGUGCCCUUCGUGAGCUCGGGUGACCGUCCUGGCGCUGGACCGCGGCGUGAGGCUCGCGGAGGGGAGGGCGGUUGCCUGGCGUCACCAGGGUAACCGCCAGCCCUGCGGGCGCGUGACGUCACCCCUGGGUUGGCCGUGACGCGUCUCGGCUGGAGGAAGCCGGGGAGUCGGAGAAGGGGGCGCGCCUCGCCGGGUUUGCGCGGGCGGGUCCGCCCCGCUCUUCGCACGCUUUGUUCUUUUGUUCUGGUCUGCGGCGAAGUCGGGCCGCCCCAGCCGUAGCUCUGCAACAGGUGUGUCUUGGGCUCCCGCACCCACGGGGCGCCACCAGGGAGAGGGGGCCGCGCGGGCGCCCUGGCCCGGAGCGGCCGCGCCGCGCAGUCCGUCGGCGCUGGGUCCUCGUGCAGGGCCUCCGCGCCGCUGGAGGCUCAGGUGCGCCUCUGACGUGCCGCUGACGGCGUCCGGAGUCGGCGGGGCCGCCGGCCCUGGCUCCUGGGGCUCCACUGCGCACGCACGGGGACUUCAGAGCCCCGCGUCACGCGGUAGCUGCCGGGGCGCGGCCCGGGAGCCCGGAGCCCGGGCCCGAGGACGUGAUGAGCUCCAGGGCCCGCGAGGGAGUGCGCACCCCGCGCAGCAGCCCCACCCCGCACUAGAACUGGCGGGGCUGGGGGCGCGCGUUCGAGGAGUGGACCGACUGGCGUUAAAGGGGAGGCGAGGGGCCGUCCCCUGGGCCUCCGCGCGACCUCCGCCCCGUGAGAGAAGACCUCGCCGAGUGCGGGACUCAGUCCUGAAAUGCUCGUGGCUGAUGGCCGUCCGUCAGGCCGAUGCCAGAACUGGAGUGCUGCGAGGGUGGCUCCAAACUCGCCAUUUUGGGUGCGACAACUCCUUGCUGGCUUUCUUUUUCAGUUCCUCGGGCUAGACAGGCGUGCCUGUUGGGUGGCUUCGGUGUGGGCCUCGACUCUUGGUCUCUAAAAGCACCGGGGCUGCUCUUCCUCCCUUCGCAGGUGAAUCCAGCUGUGCAGUCCCGCCCCCAGAUGCCCUGCUCCGCAGUCUGGCCUCCGGGCCUCGGGUGGGUCUGUGAGGUCCGUCCAGGCUUCCCUGCAUCUCCUGAACCGCAGUGCCUGAGACCGAACCUCGUUCUUGAGAUGCGCUUUGAAAAAUACCUGGCAGUAUGAUGUAGUGCUGUUUUUUAUGUGGAUUUAGUUGGGCAUCAAAUUUUAUUUGUUUUUUUAAAACAUCAGUGAUAUUCUUUUUUGCAUAAACUGAAUGAAUUAGAUUAAUGCUGUUCUUAUAACGGGAUUGUUAUCCUUAACGUCAACAUAGGCGUUUGUGAUUGUUUUGAUAUUUUGGCAGGGGCGGGGGGGGGGGGGCGGUUGUUCCUGUCAGAAUAAUUAGAAAACCUAAUUUGGUUUUUCAGUGUUUUCAUGUUUUAAUUGUCCUUUCGAACUUUAUGUCAUUACAAAUUUGAAAAGCAUUUCUUCUGUUUCUUCCUUAUGUCAUUGAAUAGGUCAAGGUAAGGGGAAGCCCUGUAACAUGGCACUGUAGACUCCUCUGCAUUGUCAUUGUCUUUACAGUCUUUCAGUAUGACUGUGUGGACAGUUUAAUGAUUGUCAUUCAGCCCUUUUUCUUGCAUUGUUAAGAAUAAUAUCAUUAAAAAUCUCAACAUUAUUGUUGAUGUAGGUUUGAACUGUACUUUAUAUUUUUCCUCAUUUUUUACCCCUUAUAUCUUUUUAUAAUGUUCUUUUAAAUUCUAAGAUCCUCAGAAUUGAAUGGGCCAAAAUGCUUUCCUUAAGACUAUUUUUUCCUUCUUUUUGAGACUUUUCAUAAUUGCAUAAUUAGAAUCAUCUUUUCUGAGCCUCUGUGCCUUUUGAUCCCUUGCUUGCAUCCUCACCUAGUAUUUACUUUAACCCAGGCACACAACUGGCUUCUGUAACUGUUAUAGGUGUUGCUUAUUUGGUUGCUGUUACUUGCAAUCAUAGUGUUCUACCUGAGAUAUUUUUCAUGAUCCUGAUAUUCCCAGAGUUUUUGGUAACCAAUUAUCAGUGUACAACAUUUUCUCUCACUGAUAAAAACUACAAGAUAACAUCUUCAUUUUUACUGAAGAGUUCUGUUUUUAAAAGUUUUUUCAUUUAUUGAAAGUUCAGUUGGGAUAAAUUCCCUUUAUUGUUUCUUUUCUUUUUUUUUUGCAGGGCUAUGGAUUGUAACCACAGCCUUGCUCUUGCUAGGUGAACACUCUACACCUGAGUUGCAUCCCAGCCCCACAUCCUCUUCUGGGGCAUGACACCAUUAAGAUAAAUCAAGAAUCUCUUGACUGGCAGACGUUUCAUUUUCACAGAGUGAAAUCUGUAUUCCUGUGCAGACAGAUGAAGCCAGGGACACCAUCCUGGCUCUCCUUUCGUUCCCCAUCACCUCCACCUGCCUCAACUGACUGUGAUGUGGUGCUGCUUUUAUUCUUUUUCCUUUUGAUGUAUCUAUAGUUCCAUGUUUCACACUGGGAUUACUGCAUUGGAUAGUUAUUCUUCCUGUUUCUAUCAGAUCAGUUUGAGUAAAUUUUACCCAGCCCUCUUUAAUCCACAGCUUGAUUGCAAAACCCACAAUAGGCCAGAGGGAUUCUGUAAUUUGAGUCUUAGGCCUGAAAUCAGAUGACACAGAUCCCCUCAUGGUGGUGUCCAAAGAGACUAUCUGUGCACCUUAAUGGUACUUGCUAGAUCCUCUGAAAUGACUUGGGCCCUGUCUGUUAGAAUAUUCAGUGUUUUUGUUUUUCAUGGUCCCUGAUAUCUUUAUAUUUAAUCCCUUCUUGUUUUUCUUUUUGUUUUUUAAGUUCUGUGGUUUGAGGGUCUUAACUCCAGUUAUAACUUGCAUCCAAACAACCUUGGUGAUACCUAAAUAAUUGUGCUUCUCUCCUUCUAUUCAGAGUUAAAUCUUCUUGGCUUAUUGCUACAGUAUCAUGCAUUUGGGUCUGUAGUCAUAAAUAGUCUUCAUUAUUUGUUUAGUAUUUACUUAUUGGAGAUGGUAUCUCACUACAUUGCCCAAAAUGGCCAUAAAUUCCUGGGCUCUAGCCAUCUUCCUGUCUCAGCCUCCUAAUAGCUGGGACUACAGGCAUGUGCCCCAUACCCAGAUUAAAUAACCUUUUUGAUUUUUACCUGUUUUAUUUUUACCAACCAUCUUUUACAGCGUUAUUAGUCUUUUAUUUCAUAAUUCAUAUAUUUAAUUUUAAAUUUAUAACCAGAACCAUCUUCCCUAGCUUGUGUUUCUAUAAAAUUAAAAUUGAAAGGUGAGAAAAUUCUUCUUGCCUGUGUCUUUAAGGAAACAGGUACAUCUAUUUUUGUUUUCCUCAUCUUUAUCUCUUCCUCAAGAUAAUUUUAAAAAGCAUAUUUGCCAGACGUUUGUCUCCACACUUUUGAAGAUGUGGGAAUCAAAGCUAGAGAAGAGUAGGGGCUUAUAUAAUUGUGUAUGAUCAAUUAAUAUUCAUUAGUAGUUCUGAGAACCAGGCUUUGCUGACAACCUGAACUAGGAAUAGAUCUCCCCAAGAGCAAAAUUUGUUUUUGUUUUGUUUAUUGAGAUACAGGUUACAUGUAGAAAGUGUGCAAAUAUACUAGUGUAACCUACACCCACGUCAAGUCAGAAAAUUUCCAAUGCCUCAGUCUCUUGUUUCCCUGCCAGGGAUUGAUGCCCUCAGAGGCAACCACUAUUCUAAUUCCCUUUCCAUAGAUCAUUUUUGUCUGCUUUUUAACUUAAUGGAGGCAUUCAGUAUGCAUUCUUCCAUGUCUGGAUUAUUUUACUUGACAUUGUUAAUGCGUAGCUUUUUCCUAUUAUUUUGGAAUACUAUUUUUUUGUAUGAGUACACCAUGGUUUGUUCAUCCAUUUUCCUGUUGAAAGACAUUUGGGCUGGGUGGUGUUGCAAACCUGUAAUGCCAGUUACUGGAGAGGCAGAGCUUCAGGAGGAUUGCAAGUUCACAGCCAGCCUGAGCAACUUAUCAGACUGUCUGUCUGUCUCCAGAAAGAGAUAAAGGGGUGGGGGGUGUAUCUGGUAGAGUGCCCCAGGUUCUAUCCCCAGUCCUGCAGAAAACAAAAAGUGGGAAAAAAGGGGAGGGGCAUUUGGGUUUUUUCCAGUUUGAGGAUAUUAAGAAUAAACCUGCCAUGAAUAUUCUUAUGCAAAUCUUUUUUUAAUUGAUUCUUUGUUAUAAAUGACAGUAGAAUCCAUUUUGAUGAAAUUCUACAAGCAUGGACUGUAGUUCAUUCUAAUCAGGACCCCAUUCUUGUGGUGGGCACGAUGGUGGAAUUCACUUAGGUAUUUCUUAUGUGUACAUAGGAAAAUAUGUUAGGUCUUUCCUACUGUCUUUCCUAUUCCUAGCCCCCUUCUUACACAAAUCUUUACAGGGACACAGGCCCUGUAGUUGUAUGCAUAGGUGUGGAAUGAAAGCAUCAUGGAGUGAACGUACGUUUACCUUUAGUAUGUACUACCAGUUCUCCCAAGUGUUUGGUCAGCUUACACCCUCAUAACAAUGUGCAAAAGUUCCAGUUGCCAUAAUUACUAUUGACCAGGUCUCUUCAAUUUCAGACAUUCUAGUGGGUAGGCAGUAUAAAUUGUGUUACUGUGAGAUUUAAUUUGCAUUAAUGGCAAAAUUUUCAAAUGGCCUAUGAAGACUUUUGGAAAGUAAUUUGAAUAUUAUGUGUAGCAAAGAAAGGGAGCAAAAAUAUUUUGCCUCCCUUAAUGAAGAACAUAGAGAUGUAUGAUCCAUAUUACUAAUUAAAUAUCUAGGGACAAAACUGCAUCUGAAGUAACGGCUUAACUCUAUAGAGCUUACCGAGGAGGGUGCCAGCACCCCAGUUAACAGUUAUCUUGCAUCUUUUUUUUUAAUUCCGAAAUAUAAAGGAAAUGGCAUAGUUUUGGCUAUUUCCAAAUAGAAAAGUAGGUGGAUUUUGUGGUUUGCUGGGAGCAGCUAAUGUACAUAGAAUUCAUCAUGGCCUUUUCUUCCUCCCCUAGGUAUGUCUUCUCCAGACGACCGCCUUCUCAAUGGGGAAUGUACCCUGCUCCCAUCAGCCAGUUUUCGGGUAAGUUGGGAUUUUCUGAAGUACUGUUUCAUUUCUCAGAGUAGGAUUGUGUUUUUUGCUGUGGAGUAUAUUUAUCCAAAAGCCAAUGUUGCAAUUUAUUCUGGACUUUCAUUUGUCCAGUGACCUCAUUGCCAUCUCUGCUUCCCCAGCUUUGACUAAUCCAUUCACCACUUACUCUUGCUUAGUAUCUUGCAGUGCUGCAGGGAUAGUAGAGCACACUUGAUUCUUUACUUGGAUCAGCCAAAAUGAUGCUAAAAACCAAAACAGCUAAAUAUAGAAAAGGUGAAUGAGUACCGUGGAAAUUGGAGAAUGAGGAAGCUUAUGUGAUCUGGAGGGUAUUUCCAGAGUUUCAUGGAGGAUAUGGGAUUUGGGAUGCCUCUCAAAGGAAGGGUGAAACUUGGAUAUUUGAACAAAUAAGGUGCAAGGGAUGGAUUCUAGGUAUGCAGAAGGAGAUUAUAUGCAGAGAUUCACAAGGAAGCAGUAGCAAGGGUUACACAGGAUUCAGAGAAACCUGGAGAAGAUGUUUUUGCUGUGUUAAACAAAUGCUGAAGGAGAUCAGAUUGUGAAAGGCCUUGAGCACCUGGAUGAGAAGCUGAAGGCUUUAUCCUUUAGGCCAUUUGUGAACCUUUAGUAGUUUCUAAUGGAGGAAAGGUGCCUGCUGAAGUUUUUAGCAGAAACAGUUGCUUGAGAACUUGGACAGGUAAUAGUUGCUGCACCAACCAUAGUCACCUGUCAGCCCCUUGAUCGGGUUCCGUCUUAGUCUUUCCCCCUGCUUACUUCCUGUCCCACAACAUAAUCUUCUUUCCAAAGAAGUGGUCCCAGUUCUUCCCACUUUCAGUUUAAGCAUUUUUAGUAUCACUGUAUGUUUUACUGAGGUAUACUAUGAGAAAAAGUACACUCAGUCAUCCCUGGGUGUCCUCACAGAUACCAACAUCCAUGGAUGCUCCAGUUCCUUAUAUGAAAGGGUAUGUUGCACACAGCCUAUGCAUGUCCUCCUGAAUACUUAUUUGUAGUUUACUCAUAAUGUCAAAUACAAUGUACAAUGUAAGUAAACAGUUGUUAUUAUAUGUUAUUUAUGGAAUAAUGACAAGAAAAAAGUCUGUGCCUGUUCAGAUAAGUCUGUACUCUUUCAGAUAUAAUCCAUAGCCAGCUGAAUCUGCAGAUGCAGAGCCCACAAAUGAGCAAGGCAAACAUGUAUUUGAUAAGUUUGUACCCAGGUACAUACUCAUAGAGAAACUGUAUUUUGAAUAAUUGUAUUAUUUUAGUUUAUUGAGAUUUAUUUUUUGUUUUAUUUUUUAUUUUUGCUUUUUUGGCCAAGUAUAAUGGUUCAUUCUGGUAAAUGAUUAGCACUAGAGAAGAAUGUAUGUAUAUUUUUCUGCUAUUGUGUGAAGUGUUCAAUAGAUACAUUAGUUUGCUGCUGCUGUAAUUAAUUACCAUAUGCUGUAUUAUUAUAGAUGUUACUUUACGUAUGCAUAUUUGACUUACCACCGUUUACCUCAAAGUGAUGAACCAUUUCAUGCAUAGUGUACUUUGAUCCCCCAUUUUUACACUAUUUUUGCUUUGUAUUUUACUUGUGCAUAUAUUAAAAAUCUUAUAAUACUUUGUUAUUUUCAUUUAGGCAGCUAAUUAUCUUUGAAAGAGGUUUAAAUAAUAAGAAAAAAAAAUCCCCAUAUAUUUAGCUACCAUUUCUGGUGUUCUUGAUUUCUUCGUGGUUCACAGUUGAAGGUGAUUUUGAUCCUAGGGAACAUUUAGAAAUGUUAGACACAUUUUUAAUUGUCUAACUUGAUGAGGAGUACUACCAGUGUCUAGGGUGUACAGUGCUACAGGCAGGUAGCCAUGCUGCCUAUAGUACACAGGACAGCCCUCCUCCAUUAUUUAAGAGAGUCAUCCAGUUAUCAACAGCUGAGGCUGAGAAAUCUUGCUGUAGGAUCUGUGUUUUAUCUGGUAUUAUUUUCCUUCUGAUGAGGACUUCCUUAACAUUCCUUGUAUUGUAUGAUUCUAUUCAGAUUUUUAUGUCUGAAAUAGUAUUUCCCUUUGUUUUUGAAUUCUAAUUUGGCAGACUUUUUUUUUAAGUACAUGAUAGUGUUCCACUGUCUUCUUGCUUGCAUUGUUUCCAAGAAAAAAACGAUGUAAUUUUAUAUUUGUUCCUUCAUAAGUAUUUUUUCCUUUGUUUGUUUUAUUCUAUCUCUGAAUUUUCUUUUGGUGGAGUUUUCUUUAUGUUUCUUAUGCUGGCAGUUCAUUGAAUUUUUUGGAUAUGUGGGUUUAUAAUUUUCAUCAAUUUUGAAAUAUAUCUGUUUCAUUAUGGAUAAUUUCUACUUUUAUGUCACUGAGGUUACUAAUCAUCUCUUCUUCGGUUCCUAAUCAGUUAAUAUUAUCAAGUGUAUUUUUUAUCUCAGAACAUUCUUACUUUUGGCUCUGUAAGUUCUGUGUGGUAUUGUUCUUAAUGUCUUCCAUAUCUCUUCCUAACUUUUUGAACAUGGAAUACAGUCCUUUUGCAGGGGAGGGGGCGGGGGUGAGUAACUAGAGAUUGAACUCAGGGGCACUCAACCACUGAGCCACAUCCCCAGCCCUUUUCUGUAUUUUUUAUUUAGAGACAGGGUCUCACUGAGUUACUUAGCGCCUCGCUGUUGCUGAGGCUGGCUUUAAACCCGUGAUCCUCUGCCUCAGCCUCCCAAGUUGCUGGGAUUACAGGCGUGCUGGAAUACAGUCUCAAUAACUUUAAUAUUCUUGUCUGAUAUUUUUAGCUUCUAGACAGUUCUGGGUUGGUGUCCGUUAAUUGAUGUUUCCCCCUAAGUAUGACUUGUAUUUUUCCACUUCUCUAUAUACUUGAUAAUUUUCUAUUGCAUGUAACACACUGGAUUCUACAUAUUUUUAUGUUCCUUUUUUAAAAUUUUUCUUUUAGGUACCAGGAGUGAAUGGGUUCUUAACACUGAGCCACAUCUCGAAGCCCAUCCUCCUUCCCCACCUUUUUUAUUUGGAGAUAGGGUUGCUUAGGAAGCAAACAAGGUGAGCCCUGUGCAUGCUCCAUCCAGCUCACUGCUUGAUAGUUCCCAAGUUGUGGGGAGGGAGGGGAACCCUGGAGGAGGCUUGAUGCCCUGAGAUGAUGCUCCUCUCUGGUUGUCAUGCAUGCACACUAAGUUUCUGAGGCUGACUUUGAACUUGUGAUCUGAGUGGCGCAGGUGUGUGCCACUGCCCCCAGCUCCUGUGGUGUGUUCUUGAUCCUUAUUCCAGGAUACAAUUCAGUUACUGGAAACAGGGUUUGCUUUUCAGCCUAUUUACACAAUUCUUAGGUAAGUCGGGAGUAGCAGUUAGUCCAAGUCCAUUUGUCUGUUUAUUCCCCCUACUAAGGCAGGACUGUUCUGAGAAUUCUACCUAGUGCUGCAUAAAUUAUGAAGUUUCCAGGUUGACUGAUGGGAACAGACUGUUUUCAGCCCUUUGAGGUCUCUGAAGCCCUUUUGGGUGACUCUUUGGCCUUCGGUUAUCUCAUCACACCCUGGCACUGAUUGUGCUUUGCAAGGCACUCAUAAAGAGCUCUCAUUGCUCUCCCCCCCAGCAGUCUGUCCUGUGAACCCUAGUCACCUCAAGUCACAGAGCUGCCUCUUCAUCUCAGGGCAUCAAGGCUCCUCCAGGGUUCCCCUCCCUCCCCACAACUUGGGAACUAUCAAGCAGUGAGCUGGAUAGAGCAUCCACAGGGCUCACUUUGUUUGCUUCCCAACCACUGAGCUUCAUUACCUGAGGUUCUAGAUGUGGAACUUGUUUCAUUUUGUCUGGAAUUUUUGGUAUUUCAUGCAGGAGGGUAAAUCCAACUCCUGUUAAUGCCAUUUGGCCAUGGCUUAAUCCUACUGACAUUGAUUUUUGGACAGCAAGCUUAUUAGGGUUGAUCCAGUGUAAGCUCUCUAUAGGGCUACUUUUCCAGGACCUGUGGACAGUUUAGUUCAGCGAUCCUCAGGAGUAGAUCAUGACUCGGCUGUAAUACUCUGAGAGUCUUACAGCCAACAGGGCCAGAAGGAAGGGCAUUCAUAAGCAGAGUCCAGAAGUCUGGUCACAGGCUCCUCUCUGGUUGUCAUGCAUGCACCUUCUCACUGUGAUCACAGACACGAGAAGCAUCUACCCAGGCAAGUCUUCUUGAGCCUUGGAGUUCAGAGCUUUUAAGUGUAGCUGCCAGAUGAUCAGCUGUGGCACAGACCCCACACAGGACACUGGGUCCAUAACAGAUGGCCCCUGUUUACUUUCAGCAGUGGAGACAGUCCGGCAUGUCUGCCCAGUGCUUCACACACCUGGAAUGACAUCAGCAGUCAGUGCUGUGUGAGCAUUCCAAGUUUUAGUUUUAGAGCUUGUUCAAGGGUCAUCAUCAUGGAGCCAGGUUUCCUUGGAUGUACCAGGGACCAAGCCCAACAGACCUGCUGCUUCAACUCCUCCAUUGCAGUCUGGACUUGCCCUGUUCUUACAGCAUGCUGGGAUUUUUCAUGGGCACCCAUCAUGUGCAUCUCUUAAUGUUACAUUUACUUGCCCGUGGAGAUCAUAUUUAUUUCAGAUAUUUGGAGCUCCUUCCUUCCAGUGGAUUCCCUCCUUCAAUAGUUAAGAUCCCCAGCACUGUAAAAACAAGAAAUACAGCAGAUGUCUGCAUAAAGUAUUUUAGAAUAGAUGUUGCAUGUAUUCUUUAGCCACCCUUCCUAUUAAUGGAAAUGUUACUUUGAUUUUUCUUCCCUCCAAGCCCACCAGCACUUAUACUUAGACUCUUUGCACCUUGGGGCAUGUCUCCUGUAAGUAGUAAGCCGGAAUUGAAUGGCAUAUGCACUUAAAAAUUCUGAUAAGUCCUGCCAGCUGCCCCUCAGCUGGAGUGCGUUCAGAUUCCGUUCCCACCACAGGACAAGAGCUGCUGCAGCACGUGCCUGUCUUACCCCUUCUGGUUUCAGAGUCGUGGUAUGGAGCUUCUUUUCACAGUUUGUUACCAACUUCCUGCUGGACAUUUUGGCACAUGCUUGUAAAUGCAGAUACUCCAGAGUCUGGUGUGGGAGGAUAUUUAAGCGCACAAGUUUGAGACCAGCCUGGGCAACAUAUUGAGAAUCCCCAUCCCAAAACACUCAAAAAAUUAUUUGUGUGACUUGCCUGUUUGUGUUAUUGAUCCUUUUUGUUGUAGUGGGUUGCUAAUUAUUUGUAGGAACUUAGAAGAUUAUCUUUUGUUUAUGGUGCUUUUUUAGAAGUUUUGUGUGUGUGUGUGCACACAUGCACUGGAGUUGGAACCCAGGCAAGCGGUUUACCACAGAGCUGCACCCCUGGCCCCUAUAGAUUUUUGUGUAGUUAUAGCUGUUAAUCUGUUUGUCUUAUAAUUUUUACCUUUCAGAUUUCAGGCUUAUAUGCUAUUUUUCCUUUUACUUUACUAUUUUACCUUUAAAAUUUCAUCAUUAAGCUAGCAGGAAUUUUUGUGUGUGUUAUAAAGUGAGGAUCUUAACUGAACUUUUUUGGCAAGAAGGCCUUUUUAUUUGUUGUUGUGGUUCUGGGGAUUGAACCUCGGGCCUUACGCCUCCCAGGUGAGCAUUCUGCUACUGAGCCACAUUCCCAACCCACAAGAAGGCAUUUGUCGUGACACAGCUUGAUGACUAAUCCAUCAUACCUUAACGAAAUUGAAAGUUGCUUAAGUCCAUUAAACUCUGAAGCAUGGGUCUAUUUCUGGACCCUCUAUUUUGUUUUUGUUAUAGGUACUAAAAAAUACUGUUGAUGAUAGUUACACUGUUAAUACAUGAUAUGAACAGAGAGAGAGGAUGGUAAUGAUGAUGAACACCAGCAACACUCCAUAUUGAUGGAGCGCUUCUUUCAUGCCAGACCCUAAAUUAAGCAUUUCACAUGGAACACUACCUUUUUUUUUUAGUUGUUCAUACAUGGACACAUAACUUUAAUUAAUUAAUUAAUUAAUUUUUAAUGUGGUACUGAGAAUUGAACCCAGUGCCUCACAUGUGCUAGGCAAGCACUCUACCACAAAGCUACAAUGGCAGCCCUGGAACACUUCUUAUUUAAUCCUGUGGGCAAAGUACUGCUUUUGUGUGUUUUUCAGAGGAAGACCUGUCAACGUGGUUGUUUGGAUAGUGUAUAGCCGGCCUUACUUCUUUUAGCACUGCUAACUUGACCUUCUCCUACAGCUAAGCAGAAAUGUCUGUGUUUCAGGAAUCGGUGACCUUCAAGGAUGUGGUAGUGGACUUUACCCAAGAAGAAUGGAAACAGCUGGACCCUAUACAGAGAGAUUUGUUCAGGGAUGUGACGCUGGAAAAUUAUACACAUCUGGUCUCCAUAGGUAAGUAUGACCCCCUGAGUUAAGAUUGGGCUGUGAAGGGGGAGGGCUCUCUCCUCACUUUUCCUUUAGGUUCAGGAGCCAACAAUAUUUAGAUUUUGAGUUUUUAAGGUAGUUUCUACUUCUUUUUUUUUAAUGUUUAUUUUUUAGUUGUACACAAUACCUUUAUUUAUUUUUAUGUGGUGCUGAGGAUUGAACCCAGGGCCUCACAUGUGCUAGACAAGCGCUGUACCACUGAGCCACAACCCCAGCCCAGUUUCUACUUCUUAAUAAGCAGAGGGACAAACUAAUAAUUUUCUUGAAUCCCAUCCAUGUUUAGGAACCAGGUAACACUGAAGCUUGAUACACUAUUUGUUCCCGUCAGGUUUGUCCCACAUACCAGUUUCUCUAAACCAAAGUGAUGAGACUGAAACUGAAUUCUGAUAUGGUCUUCUUCCCUAACUGCAGACAGAUUCUUUUAUUUAUUUAUUUUUAUUCCCCUUGGCAGGACUCCAAGUUUCCAAACCUGAUGUGAUUUCCCAGCUAGAGCAAGGGACAGAGCCAUGGACUGUGGAACCAUUAUGUCCCCUUGGAGGUGAGUAAUGUGUGCUGGCAGAUGAAUGUCACUAGCUCCAGCUGCCAGCCCAGCAAGGGAGGGUUUCAUGCCCGAGCUGUCAGUGUGUAUGCUUCUCUGUAAAGUAUGUCCUGUAGAGAAAGAAAAAUUAUCUAUCCUGCCUAGUCUUAUAUUCUGUCAUGCAACUGUCAUAAUUUAUAUUCUAUUUUUGCAUUCCUUCUAGAGGAUUGGUCAUUCCUGCCUAGUCCUAAAGCCAGGAUCUCUGUCUGCACUCUGGGUUCCCUUUCCUGCUUCCUUUGGGACCUUGAUCUCAUAAUUUUCCAUUUAUUUUUUAUCGCCCCGUUUUUUGUUUUGGAUCUACAGGUUCUAUCCCUGUUAACCAUCAAACAGAAACAGUCUAUAUUUCCAAAUACGAUUACUCAACACUAUUCAUCUUUUUGCCUACCAUCCUCCCUCUCUUUUCUUUCCAAACCUAGCUCACCAAAAGUGGUCUCUGUAGCAGCAACCUGCAUCCCUUCACUUUCUGCAUCUCAUGCAGACCUUCUGAUUCUGUCACUUUUCUAGACUUAUUUUGAAGCUGCAAGUUGGCCUUCUUCUAAAUCAUCAGUGUCUAAACUGCACAGAGAAACCUUUUCUAAGACCGAUCCUGGGGAAGGAAUAACUAGUCUCUCUAGGCAAGGAAUAUAUCCCUAGAGUUAAUGGGAUGCAGUUGGAAAUUCUCUUUUAUAGCGGGAAUAAAAAUGUGAGUCAUGGGGCUAGGGUUGUGGCUCAGUGUAGAGCACUUUCCUAGCAUAAGUGAGGCACUGGGUUCGAUCCCCGGCACCACAUAAAAAAAUAAACAAAUAAAGGUAUUGUGUCCAUCUACAACUAAAAAAAAAUGUGAGUCAUAUGUAAUUUGGAAAUGCUAGAUUAGCUAAAAUUAUAACAAGUUUUUUACUUGAGUACCAUGCAGAGAUUUUUUUUAAAUAGGCAAUUAAGUGUUAUAAAUCCCAUGGUUGAUGUGUGAGGUGUCCCCCAAAAGCUCAUGUGUGAGAUAAUGCAAGACGUUUUACAGGUGAAAUGAUUGGGUUAUGAGACCCCUUAACCAGUAAAUGGGUUAAUCCACUGAUAUGGAUUAACUGGAGGAAGUGGGUCACUGGAGGCAGGACUUCGUGUUUAUAUUUGGUGAAGUGAGCUUUCUCUGCUUCCUGGUGUCAUGCUCUGAGCUGCUUUCCUCUGCCAUGUUCUUCCAUCAUGAUGUUCUGUCUCACCUUGGGCCCAGAGCUUUGGAGUCAACCAGCCAUGGACUGACCCUUUUAAACUGUGAGCCAAAAUAAGUUUUCUCUUCUCUGCAUUAUUCUCCUCAGGUCUUUUGGUCACAGUGCCAAAAAAUCUGACUAAAAAAAUAUGUUUCCAAAAGGUUCACAGACUAUGACUUUUUCUUUCUCCCUUUUCCUCUCCAUCUCCCUGCUUUCUCUCCCCUUUGUCUAACUAUGAAGAUGAUUUCUUGGAAUAUAAUCCAGAAAAUUGUUUUUUAUAAGAGCUUAUUAAUUGGUGCUUACAGUUUAUUAACUUUGGUAAAAAACAAAUUGUGAAGUUGUAUCACAAAUUAAAAAUGAAGUUUCAGAAAGUCCUGACUUGUCCAGAGAGAAAACAAUUUUAAAACAUUUAAAUGUGUAUUCAAAAACCUCGGGCAUUUUUUUAAAAAAAUGCAGUAGUCAUAAAAGAAAUUCAUUUAGGUCAAAAUAUAAAACCCCAUGUUGCAUAGGUGAAAUAUAGGUAGUUACAGUUACCUGAUCAGUGGACAGAAAGCAAAUGUUUGAGGUAUUUAGCUUUUUUUUGGUUACUUUUUAUUGCUGGAAUUUGACCCUAAUGAUGGUAGUCGUAGGAAACCAGCCUCCAGCCUUGCUUUCUUCACUGUUUGGAAUAGAUUUAUCUUUGGUGUAGGAUAGCUGCUUGUGUUUAUAAAGAUAACUCCAGCUGUACAGACAUCUGAACAGGUAAUUGGAAUGGAGACAGUACCUGCAUUGCGGUGCCCUGGGCCUGCCUCCUUCAUCUCUUCAUCCUCUUUCUGUCCUCUUCUCUAGGCUGUCUCGGUAGCCGCCUCUGCAGAAUCAGCACCUAAAAUCCUGAUGUGUCUGCUUUGCCAGUCUGCCUUGUUCUGCAUCCUGGUUUUCAGCACCCUCAGUUUAUGCACUGGGUAUUAGAAUGUUUUGGUCAGUGCCUGGAGAUGAGGAAUACAGUAAAAUGAUUUGGAACUGCUUUCUGAGUAGGGUGCUGGUGUUCAGCAUGGUCUUCUGGAACCUUCUCCAGAGAAGUUUGUUUUUUUAUUGUUGUUAUUGUUUUGUAGGGCUGGGAAUUGAACCCAGGGCCUUGUGCAUGCAAGGCAAGGACUCCACCAACUGAGCUAUAUUCCUAGCCCCGUGAUCUAAUCUUGUUGUCUUCAGCUGAGACACCAGUCGUUGUUGGUGACUGGCCAUGUCCACGCCCUUUUAUCCUUCAGCAACACCCAGCUCUGUGGUUUGCAUUAUCCCUCAGUGCAGAACUUCUCGGACGUACUCCUUAUGGUCAUCUGAUGUAUGAAUGCAUCUUCCUUGGUGUCCUUCCUGUUGAUGGAGACAUUCAUUUAACUACUUGGCUGUGCCGAAGGCUGGCUGCACUGAUCUUGUCUUUGUGGGGAAGUUCUACCGCUAUGAGGCUGCCUGCAUGCAUGCUCUGCCAUGCCCAUAUCCCAGGGGUGGAAGGGAUGGUAGGCCUCUCUGGGGUCUUGCUUAGCUCAUGCUUGCAGACUGUGGUAAGUGGGAAAGACUCAGGGCUCUCUGGAGUGUGCUGUUUACCUUCCUGUCCCAGGGGAACUGAAGAAAUGCAACCUGAAAGAACUUGUUCAUGGCAGAACCUAAAGUGUUGAUCCCAUGCUUCUGUGGUCAUCUCUCUAGUCUGGGAAAACACUCUGCUUUCUGAUUGUCCAUUUCCUGGCCUUUUUGUUUCUUUGCUGUACUUGCCCACAAGCUGCUUUUCUUCUUUUUGCAUAUUUCACUCAUCUCAUUACCCUCUGGGCCCUCAAGGAUCGCCCCUACCUCUGCUCUUCUUUUACUUCCUUUCCUAGCCUGCAGUUGAACAUCCUGCUCAUCCUGUACCUUGUGGCGUCUUCCACCCUCACAGGCACGACCGUGGUCCAGACCUGUUUUUUCUCCACUUUCGCAGAGUGCUUAACUAGAACUUAACUAUCUUCCUCCCCUUAAGUUGUUUCUAGACAGCUCUCCCAUUUAUAACAGCGAUACUACCAUAUCCUCCAUGGUCCAGGCUAACAACCAUGGGGCCCUAGCCCAGUCUUUCUGAUCUGCCCUGUUUUUAAAUCAGUAUUCUUGGACUUGUUGUAUUGUUCAUUAGCAUGGAAUCCUAGUUCUGGCUGCCCCUUUCAGAUUCAGGCCAUUUAUGCCUAUCUUUAACCGUCUCCAGUCACCUUUUUAAUCAUCACCUUAAAUGGAGUCUCCUCGCUCAUUCUGAGAAAUUAUCUGUAAAGUUGAAGUAGGCUUUCUUUUGCCAUAUUCUUAAGUUGUUUAUUGUUCUUAGCUCUUUCUUUCUCCCCAAUAAUAGGGUUAUAUACUUAUUUUUAGCUUCAUUAGAUCAUUCCCACAAUAGUAGUUCUUUUUUCUCAGUUCAAGGGAACACUCACAUUUUAUUUUAUUUCAGAAGGGGAGACAAGACCUGAAGAUAGUGUUCCCCGCCCAGAACUGGGCAUCUCUUCAGAGGUGAUAGUGGGAACAUACAGAAGGGAAGAUAUUUGGAGUUCCCAUGUCUUGGAGUCUCAGGUAUCUGGAUGCAAUAUAGAGAGGCAGCAAGCAAACCAACAGACACCACCAAGUGAAGUAGAAGUGGUCAAAAAAAUAGUACCCACCUGGGAGGGAGGCCCUGCCACGAACGAACUUGAAAAAAGCAUCGUUGUGAGUUCAAGCCUUUUAGCACAGCAGGAAAUAUCUCCAGGACAGGCUUUUGCUAAAGUAAGCAUCAAACAGAAUUCACACACAGUGAAAAAAGAGAAGUCUUGUAAGUGCAGUGAAUGUGGUAAAGCUUUUAGUUAUUGUUCUGCUCUUAUCCGCCAUCAGCGAACACAUACUGGAGAAAAGCCUUACAAAUGUAAUGAAUGUGAAAAGGCCUUCAGCCGGAGUGAAAACCUUAUAAACCAUCAGAGAAUUCACACUGGAGAUAAGCCAUACAAAUGCGAUCAGUGUGGAAAAGGCUUCAUUGAGGGCCCAUCUCUUACUCAGCAUCAAAGAAUACACACCGGAGAAAAGCCCUAUAAAUGUGAGGAGUGUGGGAAGGCCUUUAGUCAGAGGACGCAUCUUGUUCAGCAUCAGAGGAUCCACACGGGUGAGAAGCCUUACACUUGUAAUGAUUGUGGAAAAGCUUUUAGCCAGAGAGGUCAUUUCAUGGAACAUCAGAAGAUUCAUACAGGAGAGAAGCCUUUCAAAUGUGAGGAGUGUGAUAAGACUUUCACCAGGAGCACACACCUCACUCAACAUCAGAAAAUUCACACCGGAGAGAAAACCUACAAGUGUAAUGAAUGUGGCAAGGCCUUCAACGGGCCCUCGACCUUCAUCCGUCACCACAUGAUUCACACGGGCGAGAAGCCCUAUGAGUGCAACGAGUGUGGCAAGGCCUUCAGCCAGCACUCGAACCUCACCCAGCACCAGAAGACACACACCGGCGAGAAGCCCUAUGACUGCGCAGAGUGCGGGAAGGCCUUCAGCUACUGGUCAUCCCUCGCGCAGCAUCUCAAGAUCCACACUGGGGAGAAGCCCUACAAGUGCAGUGAGUGCGGAAAGGCCUUCAGUUACUGCUCGUCCCUUACGCAGCACCGGAGAAUCCACACCAGAGAAAAGCCCUUUGAGUGUAGCGAGUGUGGAAAGGCUUUCAGUUACCUCUCCAACCUCAACCAGCAUCAGAAAACUCACACCCAGGAGAAAGCCUAUGAGUGUAAGGAAUGUGGGAAAGCCUUCAUUCGGAGCUCAUCUCUUGCCAAGCACGAAAGGAUUCAUACCGGGGAGAAACCCUAUCAGUGUCACGAAUGUGGGAAAACCUUCAGCUACGGCUCAUCCCUCAUCCAGCACAGGAAGAUCCACACUGGAGAGAGACCGUACAAGUGUAACGAAUGUGGGAGAGCCUUCAACCAGAACAUACACCUCACACAGCAUAAGAGGAUCCACACAGGAGUGAAGCCUUAUGUGUGUCCCGCAUGUGGGAAGGCCUUUCGGCAUUGCUCCUCUCUCGCACAGCACCAGAAAACUCACACGGAAGAAAAGCCCUACCAGUGCAAUAAAUGUGAGAAGACGUUCAGCCAGAGCUCCCACCUGACUCAGCACCAGCGCAUUCACACUGGAGAGAAGCCCUAUAAGUGCAGUGCAUGUGACAAAGCCUUCAGCCGCAGCACUCACCUGACGGAACACCAGAACACGCAUUCCGGAGAGAAGCCUUACAACUGCAGCGAGUGCAGGAAGACCUUCAGCCAGAGCACUUACCUGACUCAGCAUCAGAGAAUACAUUCAGGGGAGAAGCCUUUUGGCUGUAGCGACUGUGGGAAAGCCUUCAGGUAUCGGUCAGCUCUCACCAAGCACCAGAGACUGCACCCUGGCAUCUGACCGUCCUGGAAGCAUCGUGGGUGUAGGUGCUGCGUGUGCUUGGGUUUGUGCUUUUGUUACGUACUGAAGAAUCGGUAGACAGAAACUCCUCAAGCAUUUGACCUUUUCACUACUGUGAUAUGGGAUGGAAAGUACACUGGCUGAACCCCUGUGGCAGUGGGAAGCUCAAGUGUUUUAAACUUUAGUUUCCUCUGUGAAAUCAGAGUUUGGGGGUUGAUGAUCUCAGCGGCAGUUAGGAGUUUUAUACUCAGUUUUGUAUAUCUACAGUAUAUCCUUAAAUAGUUUGUGCAUCAGGCUUUUGGUGGUGCAUCUAGAAUGUGUAUGUUCAUGCAUGUUUUGCCAGUAGAAGGAAUUCGUGCUUCAGUCACGAGGGAUCUGUUUGACUCCUGUUCUAAUGCACUAAGUUGCUUAGGCUAUUGCUUUCUAAUAAAAAGAACUACAAAGGACCCUCAGUUCAGAUGUAUGUGACAGCCUAACUCCACUUGCGUAUUAAAAGUUGGUAGUCAGGUGGGUGCUCUGCCCCUGUAGUCCAGCUACUCAAGAGUCUGAGCCCAGGAGUUCAACACCACAUUGGACCACAUAGUAGGAUCCCAUCUCAAAAAAACAAAAAGGUAUUCUAGUUUAUUUUUAAUAUUCUGGGAGUUUGUUACAGUCACAUUGGUCUGCUUCUGCAUCUCACAGCAGCAUUACUUAACCCUGGUUGCACAUGGGAAUCAUAUGAUGUCUUAGUUUAGAUUGCUAUAACAAAUUAUAGCCAGGUUUGGUGGCAUAUACCUGUAAUCCCCGAGACUUGGGAGGCAGUAGGAUUACAAGCUUGAGGACAGCCUCACCAACUUGGUGAGACCCUGUCUCAGAAAAUAAACAAGGAUGGGGAUAUUGCUUAGCAGUAGAGUACCUCUGGGUUUAAUCCCCAGUUCCAUAAAACAAACCAACAAAAAUUUACCAUGGAAAUUUAUGGAGUCAGUAAUCUGAGGUCCAGGCUCGAAUGGACCUAGUAUCUGCUGACAGCCCACUUCGUGGUUGUAGAUAGCUGUUUUCUUGGAUGCUUACUUGGCAAAGAGCAGAGAAAGAGAAAGCAAGCUCUCUUUUUAUAGGGUACCAGUCAAGUUCAUGGGGGCUGCACCCUCAACCUAAUACCUCCCCUCAGUGCCUCACACCAAAUACUGUCCCACUGGGGGUAAGCUGCCAACGUGUGCAUUUGGACCGGACACUUCAGGAACGCCACACAAUUCCAUUGCCCAGGCCCCACCCCAUAGACUGUAACUUACUUGGAUUAGGAUAUGGGAUCCAGGAUCCAGGUUUUUUUUAUGUUGUUUGCUUUUAACGUCUCACGUGUGCCCUGGAGAGAGCGAUUGGCUCAGAUUUCAGUGCGCACUCGUUCAGUCAGGAGCCUCUGUGGCUGCUCCUGGAAGCCUCGUAGAUCAGCUCUCAGAGGUAAGGUCAGUUUGUUUCGUCACCUUGGUGCAAAAACAAAAUUAUAACGUUUACACUGAUGACGGUCACUUCACAUGUCUCUGGCUUCCUUACAUCAGAAGCAGUUGACACCCUGGGGAGACAUGGCCCAUAAUCUACAUGACCACUCUGGCCCUGUUCAGGAAACACGUUUAGCCAAAGAGUAAUGCACCUUCUCUUCCCUCUAGGUGCAGCCUAGUUCUUAUCAGGCCAGGUCGUUUACGAGUAGUUGGUCAUUUCUCAGCCUGAACUUGAACAUGAAGAGCUCUUGAGAGCAGCAGGCAGCACAGAAACGGGUAUUUCCAGAAAAGAAGAGGGGGUGAGGGACACCAGUGCUGUUCUCUUUGCCUGUGUAAUUGUGCUCCUUCCUCGACGGCAGAUGCCAGUGAAGGGCAGAUGGAAGUUAGAAGUGGAACAGUGCAGCCACUUAAGUACUGGACUUUUCUUUGUUGCAGCUUGAAGCAGCUAUACAGGAAUGUUUCUUGUUAUUAGUUUCCCAAGUCUUUCUUCACGCAGGAAUUAUAGUUAUCCCAUCACUUAGAGAGGGGGACACAAUCAUCUUUGCCUGGCAUCUGAGUAGCCCCCACAGUACAAAGAAAUGCAGAGUCUACAUACAGGCAGAGGGUCCUUCAGCCCCAGAGGAGAUCUGAAAAUGGACAAAAUCAGUCUGCAGUGGAAGGAUGGGUCACUUCGGUUCCCAUAUGAAAAAAGAAUUUAGGUGGAAAUUCCACUAAACCUGAAAAAUGACAGUUUGUGGCAUUUGAUUUUAUCUCAUUACAGGUACUCUUGGAUCAGACUCGGCGCCAAGAAUGUGUGAUCACCUCCUAACUCAGUCACACUCCUACAGAAGUGACCUCUCAGGCCUCCCUCUGCUUGCUUGGAUUUGUUUCCCUGUGUUUUAGAAGUGUGCUAACUGCUCCCAGGUGAUCGAGGUUGAGAAGGGUAAGCAGCGAGGCCUCGGAAGUUAGCAUUGUCCUGUUUCUGGAUCUCCUUCUUAUGUAUUUAGCCUCUUUGCUGGCUGUCCCAGACCAUGUCCCUAAGCAGUAGACCUGCAGUUGCUGCUGAUCCAAGGAUCUGUCCUUUAUCACCCAAGAUGCACCUCGGCUCCCUACUUCCCUUUUUUUAUACCUUAACUCCCAAUUUAAGAACAGAACAAGGAAGUGACUAUCAUUUCUGACUUUUUCCCCUCCUAAUUCUAUAAUUCUGUGUCAUCUCUAUCAUACACAUAACACUAAUAUUAGUUCCUUAAUAUUUAUCAACUGGGAAUGUAAGCAGAAUUAAAAUCUAGAGAAUUAUAGAUGCAGCUCACCAUCUGUGUGACCACUGACCCUGGAUGGUGAGAGCUGUGACCUGAUGAGUCCAUCCUCGUUUGAAUGGACUGGUGGUAACCACGGGCAGGUGGGGCAUGCCUGGAGGAGGUGAGUCACUGGGGACCUGCCCAGCAUUUUCCCUGUGGCCCCUUCCUUCCUUCCCUGCUUCCUGAGCUGAGCAGCUUCCCUCUGAUGGGCUCUUCCUCCAUGAUGUGCUGCCUCACCUUGUGCUCAGAACAAUGGAGUUGGCCGUCUAUGGACUGAGACCUUUGAGCCCCAGUAAAUUUUUCUUUCUCUUAGUUGUUUUUUAUUUUAUCUUUCCACGUGUUUCAGUCACAGUGAUGCAAAAGCUCACUAAAACAGAUGCAAACCUGGGGUUAAAACUUGUGACACAGCCUAUAUGUGUGCUUGACUUUAGUAGACACUGCCAAAUAGUUCCCCAGUUUACAGUCCCACCACCCAUGUUUGAGAACUUCCAUUGUCCCACAUCUUUGCCAACUUCUCACUCACUGUGGACGUCAACAGCCACUGUGUCAAGUAGGGCAGAGUUCCACUCCAGAGAGAUGCUUUGGAGAGUCUACAGUGUGUAUUUAAAGUUGUGGGACUGGAUGCCAUGGCUAAAGUGGGGGCGUGGAAGUAGAUAAAGAAAAGUUCUGAGGACUGGCGCUUGGUAACUCCAGCUUCUAAGGGCUGGGGCAGAGGUCGCCUAGCAUGUGUGAGGCCCUGGGUUCCAAUGCCACCAUCACACACAAUAUCCAACUUUUAGAAAUCAGGAAGAUGAGGAUCCACAUGGGAAGCAAGCAGCAGGUGUUUCGGGAGGACGAGCAGCAGGGUGUAGAAUCCUGGAAGCUAGAGAAAGCCGUGUUUCAGGAUGAGAGGCUGACCAUCAUGGCAGACACUGCUGAGGCUGAAUGAGAGGCAGACAGUCGGCUUCAGAUUUGGCAAAGGGGACAAGGGUGAUCUUAAAAGCAGUUUUGGAAAAGUAAAUCUAAACCCUGGAGGGGUAAAUAUGAGAAAGGAAGCAACUGGAGAAAGCAAAUUUGAACACUGGUGUUUUGCUGUAAAAGAAAGAAAUGGGUAGUUGCCAGUAGGCAUCAUGGAGUUGGGGACUUCGUAACAUGAGGUACUACAGUUGGAAAGCUGUUGGGAUUGGACCAGAGAGGGAAAAAUGGUGAUCCAGAAGAGAGAGAUAAGUAGCAUGGAGUCCUUGAGGAAGCAGGAUGAGAUGAGCCUUGGGUACAGUGGCAGGGUGGGCUUAGAAGACAAGCACAGUGUGGUUGUUAGAAUAGGAGGGGACAUGAGUCCUCGCGCUUGGUCACGGGGCUGGGGGGACGUCUGACGUUCCCUUCUGUUUUGAUUUUUCCGUAGAAAUUAGGUAACAAAUUAAGGAUAAGAAGAGGUUAAAGAGGUGUUAGAGAGGUUUGGGGAGAGGCGAUGAGGUCAACUCCUACAGUGUGGGAGAGCGAACUGUUCUUAGAGAUGUAAGGUUGGAGGCAGCACCAGCAGUGCCCAUGGGGCACUAGUUCAUGAGUUAAAGGAGACAAAUUGUCAUUAAGUGUUCUUCAGCAACCGUUAGCUGCGUGGGAGCAGGGGUAGAAGAAGCUGAAACUGGGAUAGCCAGAAGUUUUCUAGGAGAAGAGACCAAGAGCAGGGGUGCUUACUUAAGGGGAUUGCUGCGAGGGCUAUAGAAUUCAGGCUGGGAGGAAAGAAUAAGGGUUGGAGGUGGGUGGUGGGAGAAGGUGAGGGAUUAGCAAAGGAAAAAAAAUUCAUGGCUCUUACAAUUUUAGGUUUUGUUGGGACUGAAGAAAUGGAGCAGAUGUCGUAAUCUCCCCAAGAGUGAGGGAGUGCCUUCUGCCAGAAGGGUGGGUGGUCCAGUUGACAGCUGGGGUCUCCCUGCAGCUAGGGGCUCUGGGUGACAGAAUCAUGGUCUGAAAGUGCAGCAAAGAACUAGAAGGCCCCUUCCUCUGCUCCAGGCCUGGGUAAGUUAGGUGUGGAUGUUGAAGCAAGGAAGAGGAGCCAGAAUCUUCUGGAGAGUUGUUUUUGAAUCUGUGAUAUAUGUUCUUGUGAAUUUCAUCAUUAUGCUGAAUAUCAACCAGAAAGUUACUUCAACAAUUUGGGAACAUUUUGAAUUAAGGAUGGUGAUCGAAGAGCCUGGUUUCUCAAAUCUCACAGUAAAAAAAAAAGAACAAAGAAGAAGAAGAAAGGCAAUAGAAGAGGGCCCUUAGAUCCCCAGCACCUCGAAACAAAUUGAUUUUUUUGUUUUUUGUUCAUCAGUGUGAUUUUGCUUAAUGUGAGUCAGUCCCUUCUUGAACUCCUACUGCUGAUCACACCUAGUUUUAAGAACUCGGCACUAGGCUCUGGACGAUGACUACAGCAACAGUUACUCAUUGAAUAGCAACAUUGCAGUCCACUUUUGAGGCAUGAUCUCAUUUUUUUAUAACAACCCCUGGAGGCUUGAGUUGCCAUACCCAUUUUCAUAGGUGAUGAAACAAUCAUAUAAGUGGUGGAGACAGCUUUCAAUUUCUGGUCUUGCUUCAAAGUCUGUACUUUUCCACUCAUCACAAUGCCUACCACAGGUAGUGCUGUCCUGGGUACUGGGUUUUGGGUAGUGACAAGGACAUAGCCACACCCUUGCUUCAACCUCCAUCACAGUUUGGAACUUCUCUUUCAUAUACCCAGUAUUUAAUCUCUAUGGCACUUCCCUUUUGGGCCUAAGCCAUCACACAGAUGCAAAAAUACUUAAUAAAAUAUUAGCAAAUCAUGUCCAACAACAUAUCAAGAUUACACACCAUGACCCAGAUGGUUUUAUUCCACAGACGCAAGGAUGGCUUAAAAUAUGCAAAUCAAUAAAUAUAAUUCAUCACCUAAAGAGGAUUAAGGCCAAAAAAAUCACUAAAUCAUCUCAACAGAUGCAGAGAAGACCUUUGACAAAAUUUAGCACCCAUUCAUGAUAAAGACACUGAAGAAACUAGAGAUAUAAGGAACCUACCUCAAUAUCAUAAAGGUUGUAUAUGAAAAAUCCAAAGCCAACCUCAUAGUAAAUGGGGAAAUACUGAAUGCAUUUUCUAAAAUCUGGGACAAGACAAGAUGUCCACUCUCACCACUCCUAUUAAAUAUAGUGCUAGAGGGCUGGGGUUGUGGCUUAGUGGUAGAGCACUUGCCUAGCAAAUGUGAGGCACUGGGUUCAGUCCUCAGCACCACAUAAAAAAUAAACAAAAUAAAGGUAUUGUGUUCAUUUAUAACUAAAUAUUUUUUAAAAUAUAGUGCUAGGAAAUCUAGCCAGAUUAAUUAGGAAAGAGAAGGAAACAAAAGGGAUAAAAACAAAAAAGGAAAAAGUCAUAUUUUCACUGUUUGCACAUGAUUUGAUCCUAUACCAAGAAGAUUUAAAGAACUGUACCAAAAGACUGUUAGAGCUAAUGAAUAAAUUCAGCAAAGUAGCAGGUUACAAAAUCAACAUACCUUUCAUGUAUCCCAGCAGUGAUUCUGCUGAGAAAGAAUCAGGGAAACAAUUGCUUUCACAAUAGCCCCAAGAAAAUGAAAUAACAAGGCAUAAAGCUAACCAAGGAGGUGAAAGACCUCUACAAUGAAAACUAUAGAACAUUGAAGAAAGAAAUUGAAGAACUCAGAAGAUGGAAAGACCUCUCAUGUUCUUGGAUAGGCAGAAUUCAUAUUGCUAAAAUGACCAUAUUACUGAAAGGAAUAUACAGAUUUGAUGUGGUACCCAUCAAAAUAUCAAUGACGUUCUUCACAGCACUAGAAAAAUCAGUCCUAAAAUUCAUAUGGAAGAAUAAAAGGCCCAAAUAGUCAAAAUAAUUACAACCCAAAAUAAUUAAUAAAUAAUGCUAGAAGCAUCACAAUUUCUGACUUCAAAAAUCUACUACAAAGCUAUAGUAACAAAAACUACAUGAUACUAGCAUAAAAAUAGGCACCUAGAACAAUGAUACAGAUUAGAAGACAGAGAGAAAAACCUGUGCAUCUACAGUCGUCUGAUCCUUGAUAAAGGUGCCAAAAACAUACAAUGGAGAAAAGAUAGUCUUUUUAACAAAUGGCACAAGGGAAACUGGUUAUUCAUAUGUAGAAGAGAAAAACUAGAUCUUUAUCUCUCACCCUGCACAAAAGUCAACUCAAAAUGGAUCAAAGAUGUAGGAAUUAGACCAGAAACUAUGCAACUUCUAGAAGAAAUGUAGGGUUAAUCCUACAACAUAUAGGCACAGGCAAUGGCCUUCUGAAUAGGAUACCUAAGGCUCAGGAAAUAAGGCCAAGUGUUAAUAAAUGGGAUGCUAUGGAAUUGAAAAAGCAUCUGCACAACAAAGGAAACAAUUAUCAAUGUGAAAAGAGAAGCUACAGAAUGGUGGAAAAAUCUUUGCUAGCUAUUUUUCUGACAGAGAAUUAAUAUCCAGAAUUUAUAAAGAAAUCAAAAAACUUUACACCAAAAAAUUAGAUAAUCCAAUUAAUAAAUGGGCAAAUGAACUCAAUGCAUACUUCUCAAAGAAAUAUAACAGCCAAAAAAUACAUGAAAAAAUGUUCAACAUCAUUAGCAAUUAGGGAAAUGCAAAUCAAAACUACACUGAGAUUUCAUCUCACAUCAGUCAGAAUGGAUGAAUGGAUAAAGAAAAUGUGACUUAUAUAAAAAAUGGAGUUUUAUUCAGCCAUAAAGAAUGAAAUUAUGUCAUUUACAGGAAAAUGAAUGGAAUUAUAGACCAUUUUAAGUGGAAUAAGUCAAACUCGGAAGAUCAAGGGUGGUAUAUUUUCUCUUAUAAGCAGAAGCUGGAAAGGAAAAAGAAAAAUGUGGGGGUGGAUCUCAUGAAAAUCAAAGAGUGAUCUGUAUUAGAAAGGGAUGAAGGGGUGAAUGGUGGGGAUGGAGGAGAGAAGUAAAGGGGAUCCAUAUUGGCCAAAUUAUAUUGUUAUAUUGUCUGCAUGUAUGAAUAUGUAACAACAAAUCCCAUCAUAUGUACAACUAUAAUAUCCCAAUAAAAAAAUGUAGAAAAACAACAAAAAGACCAGGAACAAGACAAGCCUGGCUGAUUUGCCCACUAUCUGGUCUAUAUGGAAUUAGAAAUUCUAGCCAGACUAAUUAGUCAAGAAAGAAAAAAAAAAUGGUAUCCAAAGUGGUAAGGAAGAAGCAAAACUAUCUUUGUUCACAGAUGACAUGAUCUUAUACAUAAUAAACCCUGAAGAUCUCACACAAACACAAAAGAGCUACUAAAUCGGUUCAGCAAAGUUAUACAAAAUCGACACACAAAAAUCAAUUUCACUGCUAUAUAUUAAGAAUGGAUAAUUUUAAAAAUAAAUUACGUCGUAAGUAAAUAGAAAGACAUUUGAUGCUUAAUGGGUUGGAAGACUUCACACUGUUAUGAGGACAACACCACUCAAAGUAGUUUACAGAUUCAAUGUCAUCCCUAUCAAAAUCCUAGUGGUGGCUUUUUCUCCCUCCCAAAAUCGUGAGACCCCCCCAAAUAGCCAAAAAAAAAAAAAAAACUUCACAAAAUUUUGAAACAUUUCCUGACUUCAAAAUAUACUGCAAAUCUAGAAUAAUCAAGACUGUGAUACUGGUAUAAGGGCAGACCUCAGAACCAAUGGAAUAGAAUAGGCUUCCAAGGCCAUUCAAUGAGUAAAGGAUGAUUUUUUUUUUUUCAACAAAUGGUUCUGGGGAAACUGCAAACCACAUGCAAAAGAUUGAAUAAUGACCCUUGGCUACAACAUACACAAAAAUUCACUCAAAAGGGAUCAAAGACCUAAAUCGCCGGAAGUCAUCCAUAACCCUUGUGUGAACUGAGCCAUGCGUAAAUUGAGUGAUGUUGAAGCCAUUAGGCAGGGAAGCCUGGUUUCAGGAACUCACAGUCAGAUUCUACUGGUCUGAGAAUGCCCAAUCCAUGUGGCACCCUGUUCAAGCUCCCCAUCAAGUACUAGCACAGUUCCAGAGAUCGGGUGACCCAAUGAAGCCACUCAGCCUCUCGGAGAUGGAUGUGGCUUGCCAAAAUGCCAAUCAAGCUGUUUACUGCAAGACCCUGCCACACCGAGAAGCUAGCACAGAACCAAGACACUUCCAGCUGAAACACUCCCCCUGCCUUUGAUGUAUUCCCCCUUCAAUAAAGGACUGGGGCCUUUUUUCAGUUGUUUAGUUACAGCUCCUAUCAGGACUGGAAGACCCUUCAGGCACUCCCCUCUUUAUAUCUAAUUUCUGGCUCUGUCUUUAUUCUUACUGAUUAUUUUAGACUUUUAAUUUCCUAGGUGGCUCACACCUCCUGAGCAGGAACCUACUGGGAUGGAUUGGAAGACUUCACACUGAGGACAACACCACCCAAAGUAGUUUACAGAAUCAAUGCCAUCCCUAUCAAAAUAUGCAGGUCACCUGGCAAUACUAAAUAUAAGUGCCAUCACACAACUUUUUGAAGAAGACAGGAGAAAAUCUCCAUGACAUUGAAUUUGGCAGUGACUUGUUGUGUACUAUACACACACAUUCAUAGUAGUAUUGUUCCCAACAGCUCAAAGAUGGGAGCAACCCAAGUGACCACUAACAUCUAAAUGGACAAACAAAAUGGUAUAUGCUUAAAAAUAAGGAGAUUCUGACAUGUUAGGACAUCCAUGAAUUCUGAAAACGUGCUAAGAGAAGCCAGACAGGAAGGGACAAACACCCGUGAUUCCCUGUCUUCAAGGCACCUGAGUAGGUAGCUUAUGGAGACAGAUGGUGGGUCAGCAGUUACCAGGGUCACAGGGUGAUGGUCACUGUUUGAUGCAAACAGACUGUUGGGCACGGUGAAUGGUUCUGGAGAGCCCAGCCAUGGCUGUAGAUUGCAGUGUACUUAAUGCCACCUGAAUGCAGGCUCGUCAAAGUGGGAAACCCUGUGUGUGUCUCACUGCUGAGAGCCACGGCCGAGUCUGUAUGGCCCCUGGCAUUUUGCCAACCAUUUUUCCCAAUCUGCCUGAGAAAAUUCUAGGGAUAGGCAGCUUGAAACAAACACAAAACAAAUCAAAACAAGAACACAUUGUUUUUUAAAAUGGUCGCCCAUUCUCUCGCCUUCCCUUAGGGGCAAGCAACUUCACUUACCCCGAAGCUUCAGACGUUCCCCGUACGGGCCACCAAAUGCCGCAGUCUGGCUGGGCACAAAUCACGAGCCACUGAAGCAGGAACAAACUUUAUUUUUAAACUGCAGGAAAACAUUUCACACAGCUCCCGGGGAAUCCUCCCGAACGCGCCAGGAGGCUUGUCCAGGAACCCCCAGCCGGAAAUAUCUCUCCCGGAAAUCCCUCCUCCUGCACUUCCCCAACCAAUGGGAACUCUCGGGGAAUCCCCGGAAAUCCCCAUGAGAACUCCAAAAUAGUGCGAGAACUCAAAAGUUGCGGCAGAGGCGGAUAGUAAUGCCUCGCCUGUCAAUCAAUACUGUUGGCAAAAUGCCAGGGGCCAUACAGACUCGUAUGGCUCUCAGCAUCUCGUGGCUCUCAGCAUCUCACCACAAUAAAAAUCAUAAAUAAGAUCCAACACAGUUCAUAAUAUGAUGAACGGGACUGGCAUGAGGUUGUGGUGAGGGAGGUGAUGAGGCCUUCUGGGGACAUGGUAAGUGAGCUCCAGCUCCUCUGGUGGCCCAGCGACUCACACCAAGUGCACUGAUGACUGCUCUGUUGAUGGACUCCAGGCCAGCAGGUGGACAGGACUCAGAGGGCGUGAUCCAGCUCUGUUCCACUCUGGCUAUUCAGGGAUCAGGUGCAAGGUUGAAGGCGAGGCUGAAAUCACCCGUAGGGCCAUUCGCUUACCUGCCUGGCAAUUGAUGCUGGCUUUCUGCUGAGACUUGUGUUGCUGUAGGUAGAAACACCCAGAGGGCUCCUCUCCAGGUAGCCUAGGCUUUCUCACAGGAUGGUAGCUGUGUCUCAGAGGUGACCCUCCUGAGAGAGAGACAGGUAUCACACCUUUUAUAUCCUCAGCUUGGAAGUUGCUCACUGGCACUGCUGUCAAAGACUAUUCAUGGGGGCAGUAACAAAGUCCCACCCAGGUAUGAAAUGGCGUGGGAGAAUUGGAGCCACCUCCUGCUUGAGAGUGGCAAGGUUCUGGGAGAACACUGGGCCUAGAGAGAUUUCUGUGGUCAUUCAUGGAAGGCAGAAUCUCCCACCAUAUUGCAGGUGAGAGGAGGCAACCACAGAAAGAUGUGGACAAGCUUCCCCAGCAGAAGCCACAGAAAAAUCUGCUGUCUCUCCUUCCACCCAAGGGAUGGCUUCUCAAACUUGGGGUAAAGUUAGGGUGCCCCUUUGCCUUCCAAGCUAACAGAGACUUUGAGACAAAGAGCUCUUUAAAAAUUUUUACCUGUUUUUUGUUGCUGCUCCUUCUUUCUACAGUUGAGACAGCUGAGAAGGGAUUGCAUAUGUAUCAGACAGCAUGAGGUUUUCAGGAUCUUUACUUGAGCCACCAGGCUUCUGUCCCUGACAUGAGACAUAUCCACUUUCACCUGCCUUACUAUGAAUUCCUUUUACCAGAUUCUUAACCCUUCACUCAGAAACCACCUGUAUUUAAAGGCCUGCUUCCAUUUCUGGUGGAUGCUACCGACAGUUUUCAAGCCACCCCACCCACUACCUCUCAUCUGUACAAGUGGUAAGAAAGCCUGUGCUCCCUCCCCUGGAGUCCUAGCAGGGCAAGGUGGGUUUGUCCAAACCACGCAAUCCCUAGCUGUGUAGGGGCCUGCACAUCAGCCCAACCCAGUCACCAUAAAACCCUGAGAUGGGAGUCCCUCCCCACUCUCUCAAGAUAUUUUCAGACCUGGGAGCCUGCCGUGCUCCCCCUAGAAAGCCUUAUUGUAUGGAUGGUGAACUUCACACUCUUUUAGUGCAUGUGUGAAUCAUCAGUCUUGACCUCUGAAGCAAAGUCUGUAUGGUUGGGGAGACUUCAUCCUGCCUCUGUGGGUGACUAUCCCACUACUCCAGUCUGAAUCCUUUGAGGAGCACAACUCAGGUUUUCAACUGGACAUCUUUAUGCACAGGUGUUAGGAAUCAAAUUGUUUCCCUAUAUAAAUUCUGGCUCGUUUACAAAAGCACACUAUAAAAUGACAAUCACGCCUAGUUGCUGGAUUGAAACAGAUGCACUGUUAAACCAUGCACAACUACUUGCUUCCUGUUUCAUUUGGUCUCUGUCAAUGCUAGAGAGUGUUGCCAGUUGCAAGUUAAAAAACAAAAAACAAACCUAUGGCAGAACAAGUUGAUGUUGAGAAGAAAAUGAGUCCACCAACGUUUCCCUCUGUAAAAUGCAACUGUUAAUUCUUACUGGCAGUAUAUCUCUGCCCAUCUAAUGGCAAACACUUGCUCCUGGGAAAAAGCUUGAUGCAGCACUGGCAAGGUCAGGGGAGUUCAUUCCCUCUGGGUGUGUUUGUGUGCCCAUGGUGUGGAGAGGGGACAGAAAGGUGAUCAGCAUGGAUGGUCUCCCGGUGGGAUCAGAUCUGCAGUCCUGUCCUAUGAGUAUGUGUUCUCUGCCUCAGAUGCCUGGGCCUGGGGGAGCCAUCUUGAACAGCAUCAAGGGGACACAUUCUUACCUUGGCCUAUGAGAAGCGUAGUUCUGAGACGAGUACAGAUUGAGGGAAACCUGGAAUCACAGUUCUGAGGGUCUGAUGGCCCUGCUGUUGCCUACAACAGGGAACAAAAGAGGGGCAGGGGUCUCUUUGUUUGAUCCCUUACCCACUCUACCUUUAGGUAGAGUCCAGCACUGUGAAGAAAGUAUGACCAAACAUCAGUGGAACUCCACCACCUGGCAACUGUAGAAAAAUAUGACCAUCUUGAUCCUGAAAGAGCAGGAAUUUAACUCAUGGACAUGGUAAUUAAAGCAGGAGAUUUAUUCCCAUGGUUCUGGAGCCCCAGCAUCUAAACUCAGUUUCAUUGGUCCAAGGUCAAGGCACUACAAGCCCAGAGGAGGGACUAUGCCUCACCUGCUCCAGGUGGUGAGACCUUGGCUUUGUGGCCACCUCAUUCCAACCCGCCUCCUCUUCUGAGUCUCAUCAGCUCUCUCUGUGCCUUCCCCUCGUAAAGAUCCAGGUGAUUGCAUUCAGGGUCCACCCUGAUAACCAGGUCAUCUCCUCAUCUCGACUCUUAACCACACCUGCAAAGUCCUUCUUUGAUGUAUAAGAUAGCAUCCACAGUUUCCAGGAGCUAGUAUAACCAGAUUUCUGGCAGAAUAAAACUACAAUCUCUCUUGUCUCCCACCCUGUGCAGUUGAAGGAAUUCAGAACAUACCCUCCUAAAAUAAGUUGCUCUGCAAUAUUGAUUAUUUUAAGUCACAUGAAAAGAGCAGAUGAAGAUCACUGUGAUCUUCCUUCUUAAAUCAGAUGAAAUUGCAAUGCAAAACAUGUCUUCCGUAGGUCAGAAGGAAAGUGUCAUUGUCAUCAAAGGGAAAAGCAGAGGCUGAGGGAAACCUGCACACACAAUUCUUUACCCUAACUCUUAUCUUCCAAGUGAUUCUCCACCAAACUAACCACUCCAGCCCAAGCCCCCCUUCCUGGUCACAUUUUCACAGUGGAGUACUCCAUCAACUAGUACCUAAAUGCUCAACUCUGCUUCUAUGGGUC